CUUGGAGAUGGCACCAAGUGCCGCUUCUGGAUCGACCAUUGGCUUGAUGGUUCCACCAUCGCUGAGAUUGCUCCCGCCCUCGUAGUUCUCGUCCCUAAACACCUUUGCAACCGCAGGCUAGUCUCGGAGGCCAUCCCCAGCAGGGCCUGGAUCGAUGACAUUCAGGGGGCCCUAGGGGUCGAGUCCACUUUCCAGUAUGUGGACGUGUGGCGACGCCUUCAUGACAUCUCGCUACAGAAUAGACCGAACACCAUCCGUUGGAGGUGGACCGAGAGUGGCACCUACUCUGCCUAG
rnacentral:rRNA from 1 species